rnacentral:rRNA from 1 species
UACGUAGGGUGCAAGCGUUGUUCGGAAUCAUUGGGCGUAAAGCGCGUGUAGGUGGUUUAUUAAGUCGAUUGUGAAAUCCCUGGGCUUAACCGAGGAAGUGCAGUCGAAACUGAUUGACUAGAAGAUGGUAGAGGAAGGUGGAAUUCCAAGUGUAGAGGUGAAAUUCGUAGAUAUUUGGAGGAAUACCGGCGGCGAAGGCGGCCUUCUGGGCCAUUCUUGACACUGAGACGCGAAAGCGUGGGUAGCAAACAGG